UACGAGUGCCCCGAGCGUUAUCCGGAAUCACUGGGCGUAAAGGGUGUGUAGGCGGCAUUGUUAGUCCUUGGUCAAAUUCUUCGGCUCAACCGGGGGUCCGCCAAGGAAACGGCAAAGCUUUGAGGAUGUGAGAGGUUUGCGGAACUCAUGGUGUAGGGGUGAAAUCCGUUGAUAUCAUGGGGAACACCGAAAGCGAAGGCAGCAAACUGGCACACUCCUGACGCUGAAACACGAAAGCGUGGGUAGCGAAUGGG
rnacentral:rRNA from 1 species